rnacentral:rRNA from 1 species
GGUUAGUUAGACGUCCGUGACGUACGAAGAACGACGCGUGGCCGGACGAGGCCUAGUACUACGAUCGAACGUACGACGCGUAUUAAGACUCCUUCGGGAGUGUAUAAAGCGGCGAACGGGUGAGUAACAGGUGGAUGAUCUACCUUCCGUGGGGGAUAACGGCUGGAAACGGCCGCUAAUACCGCAUUCGGUUAAUACGCUGUGGCGUAUUAAAGAAAGGCGCCUCAAAGCGCCGCCGGGAGAUGAGUCCGCCCCCCAUUAGCUAGUUGGUGAGAUAACAGCUCACCAAGGCAACGAUGGGUAGCCGAACUGAGAGGUUGAUCGGCCACACUGGAACUGAGACACGGUCCAGACACCUACGGGUGGCAGCAGUAGGGAAUAUUGGGCAAUGGGCGAAAGCCUGACCCAGCCAUGCCGCGUGAGUGAUGAAGGUCCUAGAGAUUGUAAAACUCUUUUCUGAGGAAAGAAUGAAUAGGGAAGGAAAUGUCCUUAUUUUGACGGUACCUCAGGAAUAAGGAACGGCUAACUCCGUG